CGUGAAUCUCAAAGACUUUGUGCCGAGUCUUUCCUUGCACCUCCUUUCCUUGCGUUUGGAAAAUAUUUACAUGGCAGCUUUCCAAGCUAGAUAAGGGCAUAGUUGGUGGCUACUCAGGAGAAGAUCUUCCCAGUUGUGAGAUGAUGAUGAUGACGAUGGUGUUCAUUCAAUUGCAUUCAACUCUUGGCGAUUCCUAUGCGCCAGUGAAAAUGCCUGGAGUGAUGCAUUCUAGCACUUGCUUGUUAAUCAUCUUUGCUGUCUAAGGAAUACGCAGGAGCCUUCUCCAAUACCACAGAUUUUCUUCCUGUCUUCCUUUUUUAAGAUCCAACUUUUA